UCCUCCCUCUGUCGGCGUGCUUAACACAUGCAAGUCGAACGGACAGGCCUGCUUUCCCUUGUGGUUUGCGGGUACUCGAGUGGCGAACGGGUGAGUAACACGCGAGUGUUCAGCCCCCAACUUGGGUAUAAGCCCGGGAAACUGGGCCUAAUUCCCGAUAGGACUGCAGGGUGGUGCCUGUGGUGGAAAACGUUUUUCUAGUGGUUGGGGAUGAGCUCGCGGCCUAUCAGCUUGUUGGUGGGGUAAUGGCCUACCACGGCGGCGACGGGUAGCCGGCCUGAGAUGGGGGACGGCCACAUUGAGACUGGGAUACGGCCCAGACGCCUACGGGAGGCAGCGGUGGGGAAUAUUGGACAAUGAGCGGGAGGCUGAUGCGGCGACGGCGCGUGGGAGAUGACGGCCUUCGGGUUGUAAACUCCUUGCGACCGAGAAGAAGCCAACUGGUUGGGAGGGUGGUGACGGUAGUGAUAGAAGAAGCACCGGCUAACUACGUG
rnacentral:rRNA from 1 species